rnacentral:misc_RNA from 1 species
GAAACGCGAUAAGUAAUGUGAAUUGCAGAAUUCAGUGAAUCAUCGAAUCUUUGAACGCACAUUGCGCCCGCCAGUAUUCUGGCGGGCAUGCCUGUUCGAGCGUCAUUUCAACCAUCAAGCCCCCGGUUUGUGUUGGGGACCUGCGGCUGCCCGCAGGCCCUGAAAAACAGUGGCGGGCUCGCUGUCACACCGAGCGUAGUAGCAUACAUUCUCGCUCAGGGCGUGCUGCGGGUUCCGGCCGUUAAACGACCUUCAUAACCCAAGGUUGACCUCGGAUCAGGUAGGAAGACCCGCUGAACUUAAGC